CCUACGGGUGGCAGCAGUGGGGAAUAUUGCACAAUGGGCGAAAGCCUGAUGCAGCAACGCCGCGUGAGUGAUGAAGGCCUUCGGGUUGUAAAGCUCUGUCUUUGGGGACGCGGUACCCAAGGAGGAAGCCACGGCUAACUACGUGCCAGCAGCCGCGGUAAUACGUAGGUGGCAAGCGUUGUCCGGAUUUACUGGGCGUAAAGGAUGCGUAGGUGGAUAUGCAAGUCAGAUGUGAAAUACCCGGGCUUAACUCGGGUGCUGCAUUUGAAACUAUAUAUCUAGAGUGCAGGAGAGGUAAGUGGAAUUCCUAGUGUAGCGGUGAAAUGCGUAGAGAUUAGGAAGAACACCAGUGGCGAAGGCGACUUACUGGACUGUACUGACACUGAGGCAUGAAAGCGUGGGGAGCAAACAGGAUUAGAUACCCUUGUAGUC
rnacentral:rRNA from 1 species